ensembl:lncRNA
CCCCCCAAUGACCCCAAGUGCCCCCAAAUAACCCCAAGUGACCCCCCAAAUGACCCUAUGUGACCCCCAAAUGACCCUAUGUGACCCCCAAAUGACCCCAAAACGACCCCCAAUGACCCCAAGUGUCCCCAAAUGACCCCAAGUGACCCUUUGACCUGAAGUAACCCCCAAAUGACCCCAAGUGACCCCCAAUGGCCCCACGUGACCCCAAAUGCCCUCAAAUGACCCCAAAAUGACCCCCCCCACGACCCCCAAAGUGACCCCCAGAAUGACCCCACAAAUCACAACGACCCCAAAUAGAGAUGGCUCCAAAUCACAAUGAUGGCCACAAAUCACAAUGACCCCAAAUCACAAUGACCCCAAAUAGAGAUGGCCCCAAAUAGGGAUGACCCCAAAUAGGGAUGACCCCAAAUCACAAUGACCCCAAACAGAAAUGAUGACCCCAAAUCGCAACGACCCCAAAUAGUGAUGACCCCAAAUAGAGAUGUCCCCAAAUCACAAUGGCCCCAAACAGAGAUGACCCCAAACAGAGAUGAUGACCCCAAAUCACAAUGACCCCAAAUAGAGAUGACCCCAAAUCACAAUGACCCCAAAAGGGGUGAUCCCAAAUCCAUUGCCCCAAAUAGAGAUGAUCCCAAAUCACAAUGACGUCCCCAAAUCCGUGGCCCCAACUCCCAAUGAUGGCCCCAAAUAGAGAUGACCCCAAAUAGAGAUGACCCCAAAUCACAACGGCCCCAAAUAGAGAAAACCCCAAAUCGCAAUGACACCAAAUAGAGAUAACCCCAAACAGAGAUGACCCCAAAUCACAGUGAUGGCCCCAAAUCCAUGGCCCCAAAUAGAGAUGUCCCCAAAUCACAACGACCCCAAAUAGAGAUGACCCCAAAUAGAGAUGACCCCAAAUCACAAUGACCUCAAACAGAGAUGAUGACCCCAAAUCACAACGACCCCAAAUAGAGAUAACCCCAAACAGAGAUAAUGACCCCAAAUCACAACGACCCCAAAUAGAGAUAACCCCAAACAGAGAUGACCCCAAAUAGAGAUGUCCUCAAAUCACAGUGAACCCAAAUAGGGAUGACCCCAAACAGAGAUGAUGACCCCAAAUCACAACAACCCCAAAUAGAGAUAACCCCAAGUAGAGAUGGCCCCAAAUCACAACGACCCCAAAUAGGGAUGACCCCAAAUCACAGUGAUGACCCCAAAUCUAUUGCCCCAAAUAGAGAUGACCCCAAAUCACAAUGACGUCACCAAAUCCAUGGCCCCAAAUCCCAAUGAUGGCCCCAAAUCACAAUGACCCCAAAUAGAGAUGACCCCAAAUAGAGAUGACCCCAAAUAGGGAUGACCCCAAAUAGGGAUGACCCCAAAUAGAGAUGACCCCAAAUCAAAACAACCCCAAAUAGAGAUGGCCUCAAAUUGAGAUGUUCCCAAACAGAGAUGUCCACAGAGCACAACAGCCCCAAAUAGAGAUAACCCCAAAUCACAAUGACCCCAAAUACAGAUAACCUCAAAUCACAAUGACCCCAAAUAGAGAUGACCCCAAACAGAGAUGAUGACCCCAAAUCACAACGACCCCAAAUGCGGAUGUCGCCACAUAGAGAUGUCCCCAAAUCACACUGAUGGCCCCAAAUCACAACGACCCCAAAUAGGGAUGACCUCAAAUAGAGAUGACCCCAAAUCUAUGUCCCCAAAUCACAAUGAGGACCCCAAAUCACAACGACCCUGAAAGGGGAUGACCCCAAAUCAAUGUUCCCAAAUAGAGAUGGCCCCAAAACCCAAUGAUGGCCCUAAAGAGAGACGACCCCAAAUCCCAAUGAUGGCCCCAAAGAGAGACGACCCCAAAUCCCAAUGAUGGCCCCAAAUCCCAAUGAUGGCCCCAAAGAGAGACGACCCCAAAUCCCAAUGAUGGCCCCAAAUCACAACGACCCCAAAUAGGGGUGACCCCAAAUAGAGAUGACCCCAAAUCUAUGUCCCCAAAUCACAAUGAGGACCCCAAAUCACAACGACCCUGAAAGGGGAUGACCCCAAAUCAAUGUCCCCAAAUAGAGAUGACCCCAAAUCCCAAUGAUGGCCCCAAAGAGAGACGACCCCAAAUCCCACUGAUGACCCCAAAUCCCAACAACCCCAAAUGCGGAUGUCGCCACAUAGAGAUGUCCCCAAAUCACACUGAUGGCCCCAAAUCACAACGACCCCAAAUAGAGAUGACCCCAAAUCUAUGUCCCCAAAUCACAAUGAGGACCCCAAAUCACAACGACCCCAGAAGGGGAUGACCCCAAAUCAAUGUCCCAAAUAGAGAUGACCCCAAAUCCCAAUGAUGGCCCCAAAGAAAGACGACCCCAAAUCCCACUGAUGACCCCGAAUCACAACGACCCGAAAAGGGGAUGACCCCAAAUCAAUGUCCCCAAAUAGAGAUGGCCCCAAAACCCAAUGAUGGCCCUAAGAGAGACGACCCCAAAUCCCAAUGAUGGCCCCAAAGAGAGACGACCCCAAAUCCCAAUGAUGGCCCCAAAUCCCAAUGAUGGCCCCAAAGAGAGACGACCCCAAAUCCCAAUGAUGGCCCCAAAUCACAACGACCCCAAAUAGGGGUGACCCCAAAUAGAGAUGACCCCAAAUCUAUGACCCCAAAUCACAAUGAGGACCCCAAAUCACAACGACCCUGAAAGGGGAUGACCCCAAAUCAAUGUCCCCAAAUAGAGAUGACCCCAAAUCCCAAUGAUGGCCCCAAAGAGAGACGACCCCAAAUCCCACUGAUGACCCCAAAUCCCAACAACCCCAAAUGCGGAUGUCGCCACAUAGAGAUGUCCCCAAAUCACACUGAUGGCCCCAAAUCACAACGACCCCAAAUAGAGAUGACCCCAAAUCUAUGUCCCCAAAUCACAAUGAGGACCCCAAAUCACAACGACCCCAGAAGGGGAUGACCCCAAAUCAAUGUCCCCAAAUAGAGAUGACCCCAAAUCCCAAUGAUGGCCCCAAAGAAAGACGACCCCAAAUCCCACUGAUGACCCCGAAUCACAACGACCCGAAAAGGGGAUGACCCCAAAUCAAUGUCCCCAAAUAGAGAUGGCCCCAAAACCCAAUGAUGGCCCUAAAGAGAGACGACCCCAAAUCCCAAUGAUGGCCCCAAAGAGAGACGACCCCAAAUCCCAAUGAUGGCCCCAAAUCCCAAUGAUGGCCCCAAAGAGAGACGACCCCAAAUCCCAAUGAUGGCCCCAAAUCACAACGACCCCAAAUAGGGGUGACCCCAAAUAGAGAUGACCCCAAAUCUAUGUCCCCAAAUCACAAUGAUGACCCCAAAUCACAACGACCCCAAAAGGGGAUGACCCCAAAUCAAUGUCCCCAAAUAGAGAUGACUCCAAAUCCCAAUGAUGGCCCCAAAGAGAGACGACCCCAAAUCCCAAUGAUGACCCCAAAUCACAACGACCCCAAAUGCGGAUGUCGCCACAUAGAGAUGUCCCCAAAUCGCACUGAUGGCCCCAAAUCACAACGACCCCAAAAGGGGAUGACCCCAAAUCUAUGUCCCCAAAUAGAGAUGACCCCAAGUCCCAAUGAUGGCCCCAAAUCCCAAUGAUGGCCCUAAAGAGAGACAACCCCAAAUUCCAAUGAUGGCCCCAAAGAGAGACGACCCCAAAUCCCAAUGAUGGCCCCAAAUCCCAAUGAUGGCCCUAAAGAGAGACGACCCCAAAUCCCAAUGAUGGCCCCAAAGAGAGACGACCCCAAAUCCCAAUGAUGGCCCCAAAUCACAACGACCCCAAAUGCGGAUGUCGCCACAUAGAGAUGUCCCCAAAUCACACUGAUGGCCCCAAAUCACAACGACCCCAAAUAGGGAUGACCCCAAAUCACACUGAUGGCCCCAAAUCCACGUCCCCAAAUGGAGAGGUCCCCAUGUCACGACAUCCCCACGUCACACUGUCCCCAUGUCGCGACAUCCCCAUGUCACGCUGACCCCAUGUCGUGACAUCCCCAUGACGUGACAUCCCCAUGUCACGACAUCCCCAUGUCAUACUGACCCCAUGUUGUGACAUCUCCAUGUCACACUGUCCCCAUGUCACGACAUCCCCAUGUCGCGACAUCCCCAUGUCACCAUAUCUCCAUGUCACACUGUCCCUAUGUCACGACAUCCCCAUGUCACACUGUCCCCAUGUCACGACAUCACAUUGUCACAAUGUCCCCAUGUCACGACAUCCCCAUGUCAUAUCAUCCCCAUGUCAUGACAUCCCCAUAUCGGGACAUCCCCAUGUCGCACUGUGCCCAUGUCACGACAUCCCCAUGUCACGACAUCCUCAUGUCACACUGUCCCCAUGUCACGACAUCCCCAUGUCUCCACAUCCCCAUGUCACAUCCCCAUGUCGCGACAUCCCACUGUCAGACUGUCCCAUGUCACGACAUCCCCAUGUCAUAAUAUCCCCACGUCAUAUCAUCCCCAUGUCACGACAUCCCCAUGUCACACCGUCCCCAUGUCACGACAUCCCCAUGUCACGACAUCUCAUUGUCACACCGUCCCCAUGUCACGACAGCCCACUGUCAGACUGUCCCAUGUCACGACAUCCCUAUGUCAUAAUAUCCCCACGUCAUAUCAUCCCCAUGUCACGACAUCCCCAUGUCACACCGUCCCCAUAUCACGACAUCCCCAUGUCACGACAUCCCCAUGUCACACCGUCCCCAUAUCACAACGUCCCCAUGUCACGACAUCUCAUUGUCACACCGUCCCCAUGUCACGACAGCCCACUGCCAGACUGUCCCCAUGUCACGACAUCCCCAUAUCACGACAUCCCCAUCGCGUUUCAACAUCCCCACGUCACACUGUCCCCAUGUCGUGACAUCCCCAUGUCAUAAUAUCCCCAUGUCACGACAUCCCCAUGUCACGCUGUCCCCAUGUCACAACAUCCCCAUGAUCUGCUGCCCCCACGUCACGACAUUCCUAUGUCACGACAUCCCCAUGUCACCACAUCCCCAUGUCACGACAUCCCCAUGUCACGCUGUCCCCAUGUCACGACAUCCCCAUGAUCCGCUGCCCCCAUGUCACGACUUUCCUAUGUCACGACAUCACGAGGUCACGACAUCCCCAUGUCACGAUAUCCCCAUGUCACGACAUCCCCACGUCACGCUGUCCCCAUGUCACGACAUCCCCAUGUCGUGACAUCCCCAUAUCAAAACAUCCCCAUGUCACGAUAUCCCCAUGACAUGACAUCUCGCUGUCUCGAUAUCCCCAUGUCACGACAUCCCCAUGUCACAACAUCCCCAUGUCACGACAUCCCCAUAUCACGAUACCCCUAUGUCACACUGUCCCUAUGUCACGACAUCCCCACGUCACCAUAUCCCCAUGCCACCCUCAUCCCCAUGUCACGACAUCCCCAUAUCAUGACAUCCCCAUGUCACGAUAUCCCCAUGUCACACUGUCCCCAUGUCAUGGCAUCCCCACGUCACGCUGUCCCCAUGUCACAACAUCCCCAUGUCACGACAUGCUUUUGUCACGACAUCCCCAUGUCACACUGUCUGCAUAUCACGGCAUCCCCACGUCACGCUGUCCCUAUGUCACGACAUCCCCAUAUCGCGACAUCCCCAUAUCAGAACAUCCCCAUCUCCCGACAUCCCCAUGUCACGAUAUCCCAUCACAACAUCCCCAUGUCACAUCAACCCCAUGUCACGAUAUCCCCAUGUCACGACAUCUCCAUAUCGUGACAUCCCCAUAUCAGAACAUCCCCACGUCACGUUGUCCCCAUGUCACAACAUCCCCGUGUCACGACAUUCUUUUGUCACGACAUCCUCAUGUCACACUGUCCGCAUAUCACGACAUCCCCACGUCACGCUGUCCCCAUGUCACGACAUCCCCAUAUCGCGACAUCCCCACGUCACAUCAUCCCCAUGUCACGCUGUCCCCAUGUCAUGACAUCCCCAUAUCACACUGUCCCCAUAUCACGACAUCCCCAUGUCACGACACCCCCAUAGUAGGCUGUCCCCAUGUCACUGCAUCCCCAUGUCACGAUAUCCCCAUGUCACAACAUUCUCACGUCACGACAUCCCCAUGUCACACUGUCCCCACGUCACGACAUCUCCAUAUGACAUCAUCCCCAUGUCACGACAUCCCCAUGUCCCCCUGUCCCCAUGCCACACUGUGCCCAUGUCACAAUAUUUCCACGUCACGACAUCCCUAUGUCAAACUGUCCCCAUGUCACAACACCUCUGCGUCACGUUAUUUCCAUGUCACGACAUCCCCAUAUCAUGACAUCCCCAUGUCACACUUCCCCCAUGUCACGAUAUUUCCACGUCAUGACAUCCCACUGUCACACUGUCCCCAUGUCAAGACAUCCCCACGUCGUGACAUCCCCAUAUCACGACCUCUGCAUGUCACGACAUCCCCAUGUCACACUGUCCCCACGUCACGACAUGCCCAUAUCCCGACAUCCCCACCUCCCUACAUCUCCAUGUCACGACAUCCCCCUGUCACAGCAAUCCCUUGUCACGACAUCCGCAUGUCCUGACAUCUUUGUCAUGACAUCCCCAAUGUCCCGACAUCCCCAUGUCACGACAUCCCCCCAUAACGUCGCCCCCAUGUCACGACAUCCCCGUCGCAAUAUUCCCAUAUCACGACCUCUGCAUGUCCCGACAUCCCCACCUCCUGACCUCCCCAUGUCACGACAUCCCCGUCACGACACCCCCAUGUCAUGACAUCUCCACAUCCUGACAUCCCCAUGUCCCGAUAUUCCCCAUGUCAUGACAUGCUCCUGUCCCAACAUCUCCAUGUCACGACAUCCCCACCUCCUGACAUCCCCAUGUCACGACAUCCUCCCGUUAUGACCUCCCCAUGUCACGACAUCCCCACCUCCCGACUUCCCCAUGUCAUGACAUAUCCCCACAUCCCUGUCACAACCUCCCCAUGUCACGAUAUCCCCC